rnacentral:rRNA from 1 species
UACGAAGGGGGCUAGCGUUGCUCGGAAUCACUGGGCGUAAAGCGCACGUAGGCGGCUUCUUAAGUCAGGGGUGAAAUCCUGGAGCUCAACUCCAGAACUGCCUUUGAUACUGAGGAGCUUGAGUCCGGGAGAGGUGAGUGGAACUGCGAGUGUAGAGGUGAAAUUCGUAGAUAUUCGCAAGAACACCAGUGGCGAAGGCGGCUCACUGGCCCGGUACUGACGCUGAGGUGCGAAAGCGUGGGGAGCAAAGCAGG